GCAAUAAAAAAGCAGCUGCCGCUCGCGAAUCGGCAGCUCCGCCGCGGGACGUGAGCGGCCGAGCCCGGGCGGGCCCGGGCCCGGAGCGGGGAGUGCCCCCGCCUCUCCCCGCACCCUCAACUCCCGCGCUCCCUGACAGCCAUUUUGGGGGUUAGGCACCUCGCUCCCCCCUACCCCCCGCCUCCGAGCUAGGGAAGCGGGAAGGGGGCCGGGAGCGGGGAAGGAGCGCUGGGAGACGAGAAGAAAGUGGCCCGGAGCAGAGCCCGGGGAACAAAGAACUUCUCGCCCAAGUGGCAAGACCUGGCAGGGAUUUGGUCUGCCAGGGGCACUUCACUGUGCUACUCCUCUCUGGUCGCACUGGUCCCAUUUCCAGCUAUAAACUGACUUGGGGGCAUUGCUGAGCCAACGGGAAGAGCUUUGCUGGGGGUAUGGUCAGGACUGCAGACGGUGAUGACCCAGGCAAUUAAAAUGCAUGGAAGCAGCAUGUAUUUCCUACAAGCAGGAACCACUUUUCUGAGUAUUCUGCCGCAAAACGACCUUGUGCCGCAUGAAGAGGCUGCCGUGGCAUCCAGCUGCUACGAACACAUCGAAAGAGCCCGUUUGUUUAGACACAUACUGGAUAAUUGAUUUCCGCUGUACAUUAAAAAAGCAUUCUUCUGUUUUGUUGGCAACACCAGAUCUUUUUAAUUUAAUUAAUGUUUCAAAAGGUAAACUGAUUCAAUUAGGAUAACUUUUCAAUGGAAAUAGUGAGAUGCAGAAGAAAGUGUUUUUCAAAGCUAGCUGAAGGAUCUUGUGUGACUUCCCCAAGAGAAGAAAGCAGCCUACUUUAAAUCAGCUGAGUUUCAUCAAUAAAAGGAGAAUGGGGCCUAGUGGAAUCACUCUGGAGCUCUGCUGCUUGCAAAAAUACUUUAUUUCCCAUGGUAAUUUUAAAAAACUUUUUGUUUUUAAUAUAAAGACACUU